rnacentral:rRNA from 1 species
CUCUUUCUCGAUUCAGUGGAUGGUGGUGCAUGGCCGUUCUUAGUUGGUGGAGUGAUCUGUCUGGUUAAUUCCGAUAACGAACGAGACUCUCCCCUGCUAACUAGUCGGUUGGAUCUUGAUCAGCGGGUUGCGUGCCGAGUAACWCUCGCUGCGUUGGCUUUGUGCACUCUGUGUAUACUGUCUUCGUGGUGUUGGAUGCCUUGGAUCACACUGCACCCCAAGUCCGCCGCUUAUGCUAUAACUCUUCUUAGAGGGAUUCACGGCACUGAAGCCGUAAGAGACUGAGAGCAAUAACAGGUCUGUGAUGCCCUUAGAUGCUCUGGGCCGCACGCGCGCUACAAUGCCGGGCACAGCAGGUGUUUCUCCUGCUCCGACAGGAGCGGGUAACCCUCUGAAAGCCAGUGUUCUUGCAAGUGCUUCCUCCCUCGUGGAGUUGCACAAAGGCGUGCUUGGGCCUGGGACUUGCAAUUCUUUCCCACCAACGAGGAAUGCCUAGUAGCGGCGGGUCACUGAGCCCGCUGUGACUCAGUCCCUGCCCUUUGUACACACCGCCCGUCGCUACUACCGAUUGGGUGUACCAGUGAGAGCCUUGGACUGGCGUCCGUUGUUGCUCGCAAGAGUGACAAGCGGGUCCGACGGAAAGAGGUCCGAACUGGUGCACUUAGAGGAAGUAAAAGUCGUAACAAGGUUUCCGUAGGUGAACCUGCGGAAGGAUCA